rnacentral:lncRNA from 1 species
UUUGCUUUCUGCGAAUAAAGAUUUAUGGCAGUUUUUUUUUUUUUUUUUUUGAUCUUUUAUGGUUUAAUAUUUAGGAUUGGGUUGUGUUAAUCAAAGGGGCUUGAAAUUGUUUAAGGUUUUUGUUGAUAGAUUCCCAGGUUUUAGCUUAAGUUUGCAUAGGAUUCAUGCACGAAACAAAGCUUUCAAUUGCAGAACCCAGGAUUUAGCAUCGACGAAGAAGGCUUCUGCGAAUCAUGAAACAUAAAUUUCUGAAUUUUUUUACCCCCCAAGUUUGUCUAAUUUCACCACGGCCCGAAUGAUUUGACUGCUCUUACGAUCAGGCCCUGAAUUAAUCUUUCCCCUUGUUGUGUUCUGACCCCUAAAAAUUAAAGAAAUUGGAUUUAUUUUGACCUUUUUUUUAGACGUUAAUCAUCUUUUAAUCUUUUUUGACUAGUCUUUUGGAUAGAUUAAUUCCUGCUGUUAGAUCAUAAUUAUGUUUUAACAAUUUUAUUUGUUUUUUCAUGUUGUUUUUUUAGUGAAAUAGAUGGUUUGGGCUGAGAGGUUAUUUUGGUUGGGUUUGUAAACUUGGAUUUAGUUUAUUUUCUUUUGGGUUUUGGUUUGGGCUUGGGGGUUUAAGGCCCAUGCAUUUUAUUGGGUUUACUUGACAUAAAUAAUAGGUUGGCCCAUUCCUUUUUGUUUCGGACUUCCGUUGGGCUGAAGGGUUAAAGCCCAUCAGUUUUGUUGGAUCAUUCUUGAGGUCAGAAUAGUAGACUAGUCCAUCUGUUUUGCUAGAGUUCCGACUGGGCCGAAUGAUCUUUGGCCCAAACAAAUAAAUAAAAUAGCCCAAUAGGUUUGGUCCAUUAAGAAACCAGAAAACAAUUUUGCAAAUCAGUCCCUGAAUUUUUCCUUAACUAUACUGUGGCCCUGGACACUUUUCAUUUCUUUCAAUUGGGUCCCUAACUUAAUUACAAAUGGGCCCCUGAACUUUAUUUUUCUUUAAUUUUGACCUCCAAACUUUGUUAAUUUGUGCAAUCAAGUCCUUUCUUCUUUUGACUUCUUGAAUGUGAGUUGCUUACAUGAUUCAACUGAUUCAAUUUCAAGUUUACCAUUUUAUUUUUUAUGAUUAUUUGUUAAAUAAAGUGAUGCCUUGACUCGUUUAUUAUUUUGGAGGGUAAAUAAAUGACUUCACCCCAUCAGAGCUCCAUUUCAAGGGAGGUACAUUCUACCCCUUAUAUUUGCACUUCAUUUGACCCUACGUGCUCCUACGUGUUAUGUGAAUAUGCAUGUCUACUUCGCUUUUCUUGCCUUCCCUUAAUUCCUUGCAUUUAUUUCAUCUACUUUUACUUUUAUUUAAAUUAUUCAUUAUGGGUAUGUGUACACCUCUUGGCUUGUAAUAGAUAGGGCUUUGGCGAGUAAUUUGGUCCAUUUUCCCUUUCCCCCUUUUGUUUUAGUUAGUGAAUGUAAUAGAUAGGGCUUGGAGGAGCAUUCAAUGAAGACCUAUCGAAGACGUGUGCCUAGCUAGCAAAUGUAAUAGUUAGGGCUUUAAUUGUCUUAUGUGUCUUGCAUGCUUAGUUGCUACGUGUUAAUUUGCUUUGUUAGGGCCUUGCAUCUAGUCGAGCAUGCUCAGUGUUACGUGCUAUGUGUUUACAAGUGUUCGACAUGUCUACUUGCUUUCCAUAGUGUGGAUGAAUGGAAUGGAUGAAUGUACGUCACCACACUAGUCCAACGCUAGUUGUGGCUUCUUUUAUCGUUUCCACUAGUCCAACGCUAGUCGGAAUUCAUAGAAUGGGCUAGUCCAACGCUAGACCCUUAGGGAUUUUCCCUCGAUAGUACAUCAUUUGCUUGUUCACCACAUAUCACGCAUUUUCCUUAGUUUUAUCAUUUGGCAUGAUCCUCAAACCCCUUUUCCUCUCAUUUUAGGUUUUGCAUCCCAUACUAGCUAUAGGGUUCAUUUUGCUUGAGUGUCCCCCUCCGAUAAGGGAAACGAGCGAGUGUGGCUACUCGAUAGCCUUAGCACGCUAGUUUCGCCUUCUAAUCCAAGGGAAAAUCGAAGUCGAAAAGUUAGAAGUCAACCCCCGUACCCGACUUGUUGCAUUCCCCUAGGGUCAUACUUUCAUCACUUCCAUACUCUUUUAAUCACAUUUUUCUUAUAUUUCGCAAUCCAUAUUUUUCACUACAUCUUUAUCAUUUAUUUACUUUACUUCACAAAUGAAAUUCAAGUUUCACUUAUAUAUGUACUACUCUAUCUUCAUUCAUUUGCACACACAAACACUUUGAUUUUCAUACAAAUUCACACAUGCACUUUCUUUACACAUUCGCACACAAACACUUUGUUUUUUACACCAUUUCAUACAUGAAUCUUUUCAUACACUUGCACACUUGCACUUGAGUCACCAUUUGCAUCAAUCGACCUCUAUGAGGUUUCCCUUUAUUGGCCGCCACAAUUCAUGUGGUUUGGGACCAAAAACCUCACGAGAGACAUUGUAGAAUUUAGGAUUGCAUUUCUCAUUCAUUAGUCUUUGUCCAAAUUGCAAAUACAUACUUUGGGUAGAAAAAUUAGGAAAAUAAGGGUUAAAUCACGCAACUAGCCUUGGCUAGGUCGAAGGGGUGCCUUGGAUUUUUAUCCUUGCCUUCCCCUUCGUCAAAUGUGACUCCCGAACCUUUUUCUUUGUUUGCGUAGACUAGGAGUCGUUCAAAAGGGUUUCUUACUUUUUUCCUUAAAAAAUUCACUUUUUGGGUGACUUGGUACACCCUAACUCUAUACCAAGUGGCGACUCCAUUUUUCAUAUAAAAAACCCUUUUUGAACUAUUUUUCUUGGGUCAAAUCGUCGCAUUUUCAAAAGUCCCAUUUAGACCCAUUUUUAUUUUUAUCAAAAAAAUUCACUUUUUCCAAACCAAUAAAAUCACAAAAACAAUCAUUUUAUUUUUUCCAAAAAAUGGGGCGCGACAGUUGGCGACUCCACUGGGGACUACCUAAGUGGGUCCAAGCUUUUGAUUUAGCCAUUCUUUUCCAUUUUCUACCCUUAUUAUGCAUUGCAUUUGGAUAUUAGGGUUGCAUCUUCCAUUUUUUAGGACCUUUUGUCUCACGUACGCAUUCAACUACCCCCUCACUCACGUAUGUAUGAUUGAUUGGAUGUAUGUUUAUCUCGCGCUUGCAUUGCAUUUGGGGGGGGUGUCACCUUAGAGCCUCGCGUGGUUCUCAACCCCUUCCCUCAAAAUAGGGAGCACUUCAUACGUGCACGUUUACUUAUUGUUAUCCCAUUUUAUUUUAUUUUUUCGUGGGCGCUAUCCCACACCGCCUUGUAGGAUUAGGAUCGAUUGCCUUGGGUAGGCGGCUGGUGUGCACUGCGCCCAUAGCGCUACCUAAGGGAUCACUCGAGCCAUCGAUCGAAGGCCUUGGGAGUGAUGACCCUUUGCCUUUAGGUCUGAAGCUUGGGAGCCGAAGCCUUAUCGAGUCUAGUUGCAUUAGUUAGCCCCAGCCUCAUGCAUCCAUGUUAGACUUGCCUAGGUAGAGUCGACCUUACCCUAUUAAGCACAUUAGGCACGAGGGAAGGGGUUCCACCCCUUUUAUUUGCUUUUAUUGUAUUUCUUUUAUUGCUCCCAAUGUGUUAUGUGUACUAUCAAUUGCACUAACCAUUCUUUUGUUUUCCUGACUUGCAUUCAUGUGCCUUAGCAAUAAGAGGCCCCUUGGGCACUCUUUUAGUGACUUACCCACUAGAUAACUCACAUGUUUAAAUUUCAGUCAUUACACUUAAUUUUCAGUAAAUACAUUUUUCAUUUUUAGACCUUUUUCCCCCAAUGCAUUAUUUAUGUCCUUUAGGCCAUAUUUGUAACAUAUUUACAUCGCUUUAAUAAAUGGCAUCAUGCAUCUACCUUAGAAGGGAAUGCCACAUAGGGAAUCUCGUUUUAGAAAUCAGCCACCCCAUGUCUCGGAUAUAUAAUCCAAUGAGACUUGCACGUUUACCUUUCUCGUACCAUCCAAAGGGGUAGUGCACAAGGUAAGGUAGGAUCCGAUCAUUUUUCAUAAAGCGAUCCUUGGAAUAUGAGCAUCUAAUAAUCGCUUUUUGGCCAUUUUUAAACCUAACUGGUAAAAAUCCCUUGCGUAAAGGACAUUAAUUUGAAGAAAUUCACAAAUAAUUCCUUCAUUGAGACAGUAAUAAACUGAGGCCAAAUCGUGAUUUUAGAAGGCUCAUAGACUAAUUUUUGAAACCAUCAAUGGCGGAACGAUUCAAUCGAUCCAUUUUGUCAAUUCCUAAUCAAUUUUGAAUAAAUCAAUUCAUUUGACCAAUUUACCCUUUUAGGGUGAUUUGGUCGAUUUUUGCAUAAAUCAUCAAUCUCCAUUUUAUUCAUUGGACCAAUUUACUCAUUUCUUAGGUCAAUUCAAUCAAUUUUGAAUAAGUCAUCCGAUUUCAUUUGACUAGUUUACCCUUUUUAGGGUGAUCUAGUCAAUUUUGAAUCAAUCAUUCGAUCCAUUGGACCGAUUUGCCUAGUUUUAGGGCGAGUUGGUCAAAUCAUCAUUUCACUCGAUCUGUUUGAUCAAUUGACUUCAUUCAAUUCAUUUGAUUAGUUUAAUUCAUUCUUAGGGUUAUCCAUUCAAUUUUGAAUAAAUGCAUUUGACCAUUUUACCCUUUUUGAAGGCGAUUCGGUCGAUUUUUGAAUAAAUCAUCCAUUUUAUCCAACCAUUUUGCAAUUCAUUCAUCAUUUGACCAAUUUACCAAUUUACCCUUUUUAGGGUCAUCAGGUCGAUUUUUGAAAAAUCAUUCAUUCAUUUGACCAAUUUACCCUUUUUAGGGUCAUCCAGCCGAUCUUUGGAUAAGUCAUCAAUUCAUUGGACCAAUUUACCCUUUUAGGGUGAUUUGGUCGAUUUUUGCAUAAGUUAUCAAUCUCCAUUUCAUUCAUUUGGCUAAUUCACCCAUUGGUAGGGCAAUCGAACCAAUUUUGAAUAAAUCAAGUUUUCAUUUAGUCCAUUUGUCCAAUCUACCCUUUUUUAGGGUGAUUCGAUCAAUUUUUGAAUAAAUCAAUUUCAUUCAAUUCAUCUGACCAAUUUACCCUUUCUAGGGUUAUUCGGUCAAUUUUUGAAUAAAUCAAUUUCAUUCAAUUCAUCUGACCAAUUUACCCUUUCUAGGGUCAUUCGGUCAAUUUUUGAAUAAAUCAAUUUCAUUCAAUUCAUCUGACCAAUUUACCCUUUUUAGGGUCGUUCGGUCAAUUCAUCAAUUUCAUUCAAUUCAUUUGACCAAUUUACCCUUUUUAGGGUCAUACGGUCGAUUUUGAAUAAAUCAUCAUUUCACUCAAUGCGUUUGAUCAAUUGAUUUCAUUUAGUUCAUUUGAUUCAUUUAAUUCAUUUUUUAGGGUUAUCCAUUCGAUUUUGAAUAAAUAAUCAAAUUUCAUUCAAUGCAUUUGACCAUUUUACCCUUCUUAAGGUAAUCUAGUCAAUUUUUGAAUAAACCAUCAAUUUCAUCCUAUGCAUUUGACCAGAUUUCCCUCUCUUAGGGUUUCGGUCUAAGGUUCACUGAAUGACCUAGUCUAAACAUUGCAAUCUCUUUUACACGUCAUUUUUUGUGUCAAUCAAGGCAAGCAAUCCAUUCGGACUUUGUCCUAAUUUUUAGGACAAAUGUGUCUUUUCACUCCAAUUGGAGGCCAAAUUUUUCAAAUCAUUUUUUUUCACCCAAUCAACUGAUCGGAUUCAUCAGGUAUUGUAUGGUGCCUACCCUAGAGGAUUGCAUUUUCAUGCUAGGCCUACCUUUGGCACAAAAAGGGUUCCCCCAUAGGACAUGCAUACCGAUUUUGCAGUCUUGUUUACUAACUCGGGUUAUUUUUCUUUUGUUUUUCCCCCUCCCCUGCAUUCAUAAAAAAUGUUUCAAUAAGGCAAAAAUAUUUUUCUACAUUUGAUAACAUUUCUGAUCUAAUAAAGUGUGAAAAUUACAAGUAUUAUUUGAUUCUUGGGCAGAUCCUACAAUGGAAACGUGAAAGAUCCAUCUGAAAGUUCUAGACUAAGAGCUUCUAAGAGAUUUCAUAAUUGUUUUUCAAAGAAGACUCUGUAUAUUGGAUUUGUUAAUACAUUCUUGUUCCCAAAAGAGGCAGAAAUGUGUAUAUGGGGAGUUCUUAGAAGUUUUUCUCUUCUCAUUUGUAUUAUAAUUGAAUGAGCAUUUUGUUUCAAACUCUUUCAGCAAUAAAAUUUUUGGACAAUUAUUGUUUUGUAUAUCCAUGUACAUUUCAUUCUUUUUGCUCAUUGGAAAUUUCAUGAUGAAUUUUAAGAAAAUAAGACUAAAUUGAGAUUUCCUCAACCUCCAGUCUGAAAAUUCACAAGUGUAUGCUUUCUAAAAUUCUUGCGUACACUAGAUUGGUGAUCCGAGCUAUCCAAUAAGAGUGCUCAAAGUUAAAAGAAGUCACUCAAAAGACCCAAUGAGAUACCUUUUUUUCCUUUACUGUACAAUUCAUAUUUUGCCCACUCCUAUUGACCCCAAAAUAAAAUCAGUCACAUUGAUUGAUAAAUUGCAAAUUGGGGCAAUCUUUGCUUGGAAAAAUGUCCAUAGCGUCUAAUUAGAUUCAAUUCACAUCUCAAUGAAAGCAAAAAUGUGCAUUAUUCUUGUUUGUUUUGAAAAUUUGGAAUGAUACUUUAAGUAUUCGUUUCUCUAUCCAUACAGUUUUUAUCAUUUGCUCUCCCAUUUGAGCCUUUAAAAGAAUAAUUUCGUUUCAAAUAAGAGUCUUAAAGCUCACUACCCUACAUUGGAAAAUUUUCACAUAUCAAAAGGGGAAUGGAUUCUCAAUGAGCGUUUCAUCACCUUAAUUGUCAUGGAGCGUAAGAAUGAUGCUUUGGCCGUCGUUUCUACAAUCUAAACACAAUUUACCCCUUGCAUUCUCAUUUGAGCUAAAUUGAUGGUUCUUUUCAAAGCACCUAUGAUCGCACCCCACAUUGGGGAGGGAGAUUGGAGAUUUUUCCAAAAAAAAAAGAAAAGCAAAAAAUGCUAAAACUAAAAAGGGGGAACCGCAAAUUGGGGAAAUUUGAUUCUACCUGAGCUUCAAUUGUGAGAAAAAGAAGAGUGAAAAGAAAAGAAAGAAAAGUUGUCUGGCGGAUCCUCUAUGUUUCACAGAUAUGGAUGACCAAGGGUCUUCCUCAGUCAGUUGAUUCAGGUGCAUGCAAAAAUUUCGCAUUAAUGAAAAUUUUCCUUUCAGAGUUAAUGUAAGGAACGGAUUAAAAGUCAGGCCCUCUUCUUUUCCAAUCGAACAUUCUAUCCCUAAUUAUCCCUUUUGAGCUUUCAGAAUAAAUUACUUCGUUUGGCAACCCCUGAGAAUCGCAAACCCCACACUGGGGUAACUUUGAGUUGGAAAAGAAAAAAAGUCCCAAGAGGUGAAAAGUGCUAAGGCAACAACAAAAGCAAAAAAGAAAAGAGAACCUCAGUUCAAAAUAAACUGGGGCAAAUUUUUGAAAAAUUUCAAAGGAAUGGCAAAAGGCCGAGGGAAAAAACAAAAUGAAAGAGAAAAAGCCUCAAUUGAGCAUAAACUGGGGCAAAUUCUGAUUUAGCCCUAAAAUAGGGUUGGCGCAGCAAUGCGAUCUCAGAUUAUUCAAACCACUUUUGAAAUCCGCUUUCAAGCCUUAACUUUUCUAAGCACCCCACCAGACCCCAUUACAAAAGCUGAAAAGUCCUGACUUCUGUUCUUUGCAAUGGCCCUGUCAAGAAAAUUUCUGAUGCCGAAAAUUUUAGCUGUAUUUCUGAAUUGUUUGGGUAUGGGGUUGACACUACUCACCAUGUGAAAACCCCAAGUUGAAAAGAAAAAGGAAAAAGAAGAAAUGCAAAAACAUUCGACGUGAAGUCCCGUUGAAUGAUGAGAAAAUACAAACAAAUUCUGAGAUCUUUGAGUUCAGAAUAGGGGCAGUUUUGGAAAAAUGCGAUCUUCGGUGCAAUGUCCUUGAAAGACUUAUCCUUCAGCUAUCGUUUCAAGCCACAUUACAAGUUAAUAAAGUCCAUCGUUGACUUAUUCCUUCAUGACAAUCCAAAGUGAGGAUUAUGCUCGUAAGAAAUCCAUCAAUCAUUCGUGAUCAUGGGGGUAUAACCAGUUUUCACAGGUUUAGCUAUCGCUUCUACCCAUUUUGGUACAAGUUUAAAGCUUAUAUGUUGACUAAAUUUUCUUAAGAAAUAGGGGUGACAAACUAUUUGCUUUCACUAAGAUGUGAUAUUGAAUGGAUUACAUACGAUUGGGGGCACAAAAACAAGACAAAUCUUGAUUUCUCAUUUUCCUUAGCCACCUCAAAAUCAAAAAUAACACCCACUUGAUUGGUCCUGAAAGAUGAGAAGUGGUAAUCCAUUACCCUAAGCAUUUAUGCUAAAGUGGGAAAGAAAUCUUUUGUAAUUUGGAAUUAUUUCGAAAGAUUCAUCAUCAAAUUUUCUGUUAGGAAACACAGUUUCUUACAUUGUUCAAAUAAAUGGAGUGUCAUCCAAACAAAUUUUUUGCAAUUAAAUAAGCCCACGCUGGGGCAAAUUUUCAUUUGAGGGAUUUUGCAAAAUAGGCCCAUAAUGGGGCAAAUUUUCAUUUACAAGAUUUCGCAAAUUGUGCCCACACUGGGGCAAAUUUUUAUUCAUGGGAUUUCACAGAAUAAGCCCACACUGGGGCAAAAUUUUUAUAGUUCAUUUGAGGAUUUCGUCCAAGAAUCAAAUAAUGCAUUUUUCAAAUCAAUCACGCUGUUUCUUUUCAUGAAAUUCAAGUGCAUGUCAUAUUUUGGUAAGCCCUGUGCAGGUAUUCAUAGUUGAAAUCGACGAAGGAGCAUCUGGUGAUGUGGAAAGCCGACGCCGAAGAAAGAAAAGAAAGAAGGGAAAAAGGGCCCUACACUGAGGGCAAAUUAUUUUGAAAAAGAUUCUCUCGAAAAAUCAGAAAAAUUCAAAAUUCAAAAAUCAAAAAUCAAGUUCAAAUUCUUGUUUCUUGGAAAAUCAAAUUUCUUGUUUCUUGACAAAUCAAAUUCAAUUUCUUGACCAAUUGGGUGGCAGGACUGGGUCUUAUCCCACUGGCCAUUCACAAAUAUCACAUUGGGCCUGGACUUCGUGCCGCCAACCUUCCAAAAAUCAAGUUGGGCCUGGACUUCGUGCCGCCAACCUCCAAAAAUCACGUUGGGCCGGGAUUUCAUGCCGCCAACAUCACAAAUCACGUCGGGCCUGGAUUUGUGCCGCCGACAUCCUAUUGAGUCUGAAAUUUGUGCCGCCAGUGCAACCAAGGCAGGCUUGGGUGUAAUCCCACUAAUCAAUUCAUCAUACUGGGGCAAAUUAUUUUGGGAAGUUUUUCAAAAAUCAAAAAAAAUCAAAAAAAAAAAUCAAAAAUCAAAAAAAACCAAAAAUCAGAAAAAAAAAGAGAAAAAUCAAAAUCAAAAUCAAAUCAAGUUUCAUCACGGCAGGUUUGGCUUAAUCCCACUGACCGAUUAUCAAGACAUUUUCGGGUCAGUCCCAUGAUUCAAAGCAUUUUCGGGUCAGUCCCAUGAUCAAAAGCAUAUUUCGGGUCAGUCCCACGAUCAAGAGCUUAUCCGGGUCAGUCCCAUGAUCAAAAGCUUAUUCGGGUCAGUCCCAUGAUCAAAAGCAUUUUCGGGUCAGUCCCACGAUCAAAAGCAUUUUCAGGUCAGUCCCAUGAUCAAAAGCUUAUUCGGGUCAGUCCCAUGAUCAAAAGCAUUUUCGGGUCAGUCCCAUGAUCAAAAGCUUAUUCGGGUCAGUCCCAUGAUUAAAAGCAUUUUCGGGUCAGUCCCACGAUCAAAAGCUUAUUCGGGUCAGUCCCAUGAUCAAAAGCAUUUUCGGGUCAGUCCCAUGAUCAAAAGCUUAUUCGGGUCAGUCCCAUGAUCAAAAGUUUAUUCGGGUCAGUCCCAUGAUCAAAAGCAUUUUCGGUCAAUCCCAUGAUCAAAAGCAUUUUCGGGUCAGUCCCAUGAUCAAAAGCUUAUUCGGGUCAGUCCCAUGAUUAAAAGCAUUUUCGGGUCAGUCCCAUCAAAAGCCAUUCUCGGGUCAGUCCCACGAUCAAAAGCUUAUUCGGGUCAGUCCCACGAUCAAAAGCACUUUCGGUCAGUCCCACGAUCGAAAGCUUAUUCGGGGCCAGUCCCACGAUUCAAAGCUAUUCGGGUCAGUCCCACGAUUAAAAGUCUAUUCGGGUCAAUCCCAUGAUUAGAAGCUUAUGCGGGUCAGUCCCAUGAUUAAAAGUCUGUUCGGGUCAGUCCUAUGAUGUUAAUUUUCUUGUUCGGGUCAGUCCGUUUUAAAUUUCUGUUCGGGUCUAUCCGUGGGUCUAUCCAUUUCAAUUUCUGUCUGGGUUUUAAAUUUCUGUCUGGGUCUAUCCCAUUUACAUUUCUGUUUGGGUCUAUCCCGUGGGUCUAUCACAUUUGCAUUUUCCUGUUCGGGUCAAUCCCGUUUUCAAAUUCCUUGCUCGGGCCAGUCCCGUUUUAAAUUCCUAUCCGGGUCAGUCCCGUUUUCAAUUCUUGUUCGGGUCAGUCCCGUUUUAAGUUCUUGUUCGGGCCAGUCCCGUUUUCCAUUCCUUGUUCGGGUCAGUCCCGCUUUAAAUUUCCCGUCUAAGUUAAUUCCAUUUUAAGUUUUUGUCAAAAGGGGUCAGUCCCCAUUUCUAAAACGUCCACCGUUCGUGACGUUCGCCACCGAAUAAAGCAGGUAAGUAUUUGGUGUCUACUUCUUUGUCACAAGUUUUUCCAAAACUCAGACAAAGAGGGGCAAACUGUAGACACCAAAAUUUUGAGCCAUUGAUAGUUAUAUCUAUUUAUUCCAUAAUUUUCAUUUGGAUAUUUUUCUAGUAUUUUUUAUAGCAUUUUUAUUUCAUUUUUAGCUUUAUUUCGUUUUUUAGAAUUUUAACAUAAAAUUUGGAAAAUGGAAAAGGCACUAAAAAAAUAUGCUUUAAUUGUUUGUUUUGAUUUUAAGAAGGAAAAAUAAAGGAAAAGAGGAAAAUGAAAAAUUGCAUUUUUUUUGUCGUUUAUUGUUUUAGCUUAUUUAUUGCUAGCCAAUGUCAAUUAAUUUGUUGUUUUUCUUUUUAAUUUUAUCAUUUUCAUUUUAUUAUCACUUUUUACUACUUUUCAAAAAAAAAAAAAAAACGCAACAUGCAAAAGUUGCGUGUUGCCGCAGCUUGCAAAAAGAAAUUGCAGGAAGGCCUUGGGAUGAAAUUUGGGGCUUUAAAGGCCAGGUGUCUAGGACACCUGGAGGGGGGAGGAAUCUAGAAGUAUUAUCUAGGUUUUGGUUGAAAAAGGGAGAGAGGGAAAUCAGUGACGGCGGGCAAAAAAAAAAAGGAAGAGAGCAGCCGCAAGAGAGGGGGAAAAAACGGCAAAGGAAAAAAUCAGAAGAGGAGAGGGUGACGGGAAAAGUGAAAAAAAAAGAGAAAGAAAAGGGAGGCGGCUGCACAUCGGAGGAAGAAGAACAGAAAGAAAAAACAGGGGCGGUGGAUGGAGGUUUGAAAGAGCAGAGGAAAGGGAAAAAUCUGGAAUUUGGAGGAGGAAGGUGACGGGCAAGGAGGCGAAAGGAAAACAGGGGACGGCUGAUAAAAAAAGAGGGGCUGGGAAUUUGGAUUGAAGCCAGAAGCCUUCGGCUGUGGAGUGGAAAAAACAGAGCAAAUGGAAAAGAACUAAGGAGCUACGGCAAAACAGAAAAACAGAACAAGAAAAGGGAGUUGCAAAAACCGAACAAGAAGAAAAGGAAUUUCGGGCAAGCAGGAAAACUGAGUGGAGGAGUUGCAAUUUGCUGUUGGCUCCGGAAAUUCCCGCCAUUACCGAUGAACAUUCACCGAGAAGGAGUACGGUAAGCAACCAUUUUACUUUAAAUUUCAGCUUCCAUUCAAGAAUAAAUGCUGGAAAUCCCAACCCCAAAAUCCGUCUCUGGUGAAUCUGUUUCUUGCAAUUCUUCGGUGAUUGUUCAUAAAUGUUUGACCGCGCACGCUCUGUGUAUUGAUUGGUCUGCGUUCUUUUGUGUUGCUGAUAAUUUUUGGGCUCUGAUUUCCAUCCCUUGAGCGAAAAAUUGCUGAAAUCCUCCAUGCCCAUGUAGUGUUUGUUAAAAUGCCCAAUCGAAUGUUUUGUUUGAAGAAUGACUUGCCCGCGUUUUUGUGUGAAAAAUGGAUAAGUUAGCAAGUUCAAUUCCUUGCGUUUGAGAAGUCUUGAUGUACUGGAAUUUAUGCAUUCUUUUUCUGUUUUCGUUUCCGAAUGCUCCCCUUGGUAUGAGUUUGAAUCAAUGAUUGUGAGAAGGAAUUCAUGUGAGUUUCAUGUUUUUUUUUGGAGUGUAAAAAUGAUUUUUUUUUCAUGUUUUGCUUUCUGCGAAUAAAGAUUUAUGGCAGUUUUUUUUUUUUUUUUUUUGAUCUUUUAUGGUUUAAUAUUUAGGAUUGGGUUGUGUUAAUCAAAGGGGCUUGAAAUUGUUUAAGGUUUUUGUUGAUAGAUUCCCAGGUUUUAGCUUAAGUUUGCAUAGGAUUCAUGCACGAAACAAAGCUUUCAAUUGCAGAACCCAGGAUUUAGCAUCGACGAAGAAGGCUUCUGCGAAUCAUGAAACAUAAAUUUCUGAAUUUUUUUACCCCCCAAGUUUGUCUAAUUUCACCACGGCCCGAAUGAUUUGACUGCUCUUACGAUCAGGCCCUGAAUUAAUCUUUCCCCUUGUUGUGUUCUGACCCCUAAAAAUUAAAGAAAUUGGAUUUAUUUUGACCUUUUUUUUUAGACGUUAAUCAUCUUUUAAUCUUUUUUGACUAGUCUUUUGGAUAGAUUAAUUCCUGCUGUUAGAUCAUAAUUAUGUUUUAACAAUUUUAUUUGUUUUUUCAUGUUGUUUUUUUAGUGAAAUAGAUGGUUUGGGCUGAGAGGUUAUUUUGGUUGGGUUUGUAAACUUGGAUUUAGUUUAUUUUCUUUUGGGUUUUGGUUUGGGCUUGGGGGUUUAAGGCCCAUGCAUUUUAUUGGGUUUACUUGACAUAAAUAAUAGGUUGGCCCAUUCCUUUUUGUUUCGGACUUCCGUUGGGCUGAAGGGUUAAAGCCCAUCAGUUUUGUUGGAUCAUUCUUGAGGUCAGAAUAGUAGACUAGUCCAUCUGUUUUGCUAGAGUUCCGACUGGGCCGAAUGAUCUUUGGCCCAAACAAAUAAAUAAAAUAGCCCAAUAGGUUUGGUCCAUUAAGAAACCAGAAAACAAUUUUGCAAAUCAGUCCCUGAAUUUUUCCUUAACUAUACUGUGGCCCUGGACACUUUUCAUUUCUUUCAAUUGGGUCCCUAACUUAAUUACAAAUGGGCCCCUGAACUUUAUUUUUCUUUAAUUUUGACCUCCAAACUUUGUUAAUUUGUGCAAUCAAGUCCUUUCUUCUUUUGACUUCUUGAAUGUGAGUUGCUUACAUGAUUCAACUGAUUCAAUUUCAAGUUUACCAUUUUAUUUUUUAUGAUUAUUUGUUAAAUAAAGUGAUGCCUUGACUCGUUUAUUAUUUUGGAGGGUAAAUAAAUGACUUCACCCCAUCAGAGCUCCAU